GGAUAUAGCUCAGUUGGUAGAGUGCUUGCCUUUGCUGCACAAAGCACUGGGUUCAACCCCCAGCACCA
rnacentral:tRNA from 1 species